UACGUAGGGUGCAAGCGUUGUCCGGAAUUAUUGGGCGUAAAGAGCUCGUAGGCGGUUCGUCGCGUCGGCUGUGAAAACCCGGAGCUCAACUCCGGGCCUGCAGUCGAUACGGGCGGACUCGAGUUCGGCAGGGGAGACUGGAAUUCCUGGUGUAGCGGUGAAAUGCGUAGAGAUGUGGAGGAACACCAGUGGCGAAGGCGACUCUUUGGCCUGUAACUGACACUGAGGCGCGAAAGCGUGGGGAGCAAACAGG
rnacentral:rRNA from 1 species